rnacentral:lncRNA from 10 species
UCACUUCCCUUAUGGCUACAAAAGAGGGGAGAAUGGGGAAACAUGGAAAUCAAAAAGCAUCCCUGUAUUAUCUAUUCUCAUACUGCUAACAAAGACAUACUUGAGACUGGUUCCCUAUAUCCCAGGAUGAUGAAGACCCCUCUUUCUCCCUCUGUAUACCAAGAAGUUUAAGUAUCAGCAACACACCAAGGGAAAAUAGCAAACAGACUUCUGUUUGGACAUGAAAUUGAACAAAGAGCUCACACCAGUCAGAGCCAGUUUGAACCAGUCUGCACGGCUCUGAAAUCUGCCGGACCUCCCUCUGAAGCUGGCACAAAGACACGAAGAACAUCAUUGACUUCAAUCUUUGGCCUUCUAACCAGGAAAGGACUUGUGAAGGUGAAUGGUUUGCAGACGAAGGGGAUAUAAAAGAGACAAAACCAGGAUAAAAAUUAAAUAAAAAGUAGCUGUCUUAAACUGUAA